rnacentral:lncRNA from 1 species
AAAAGAGCGGGCUUAGGUGGACGGAUGCCAAGGGCAGUCGCCAGCUCUCCAGGCAGGACCCAGUGAAGGAUGUCCUUCUGCAGCACAAACAGGGUGAAGAAGACAAGCUGCAGCAGGCCCAAGAACAGCAGAAACGCCCUGCGGAACAGAAGAAGGUUGAGUCAGAUCUGGGGGCACGUUUGUCACAGCACUUUCCAUCCAGCCCCGGCAAAUGGCCGUGGACAUGUGCCAUACAGGGAGCAAGGGAAUCUGUCGUAGGUCUGCGCAGGGCUGCCAAGAUCGCCACCCCACCUGCUCUCCCACCCAGGACCCUAAGCAAUACUGAAGCAUUUUAUCUCCAAAAAGUCAAAAGCUGCCUGAUGGUCUCUGGACCCC